UGCCCAGCAACUCCUAUCCCUACCUCCUCGCGGUUCUGGCCGGGGUACGAGUAACCUUAGGGAAGAUCGGGUAACCAACCCCCGGUGGGAACUUUGGUCGUAUGCAGACAGGGAAGG
rfam:Aedes aegypti strain Liverpool supercont1.470 genomic scaffold, whole genome shotgun sequence.